UGAGGAAUAUUGGUCAAUGGGCGCGAGCCUGAACCAGCCAAGUCGCGUGAGGGAUGACGGUCCUACGGAUUGUAAACCUCUUUUGCCGGGGAGCAAGCGUGCGUUCGUGAACGCGCGUCGAGAGUACCCGGAGAAAAAGCAUCGGCUAACUCCGUGCCAGCAGCCGCGGUAAUACGGAGGAUGCGAGCGUUAUCCGGAUUUAUUGGGUUUAAAGGGUGCGUAGGCGGGAUGCCAAGUCAGCGGUAAAAAUGCGGUGCUCAACGCCGUCGAGCCGUUGAAACUGGCGUUCUUGAGUGGGCGAGA
rnacentral:rRNA from 1 species